AUGUCUACCUACCUUGGACAUCAUGCACCAGCCUUAUUAUGGCUUGAAAUUUUCAAGACCACCCAGAAUGCCCUUCUCCAUCCUGUCAUUCCAGGCAGCUUCUUCUUCACUUUCAAUAUUCAACCCAGCCAUCACUGCCAUUAUGAAACGAAGGCAGGGAUGGUCUUUCUCCAUCUUCAGCCUCUCCUGAAAACUAGGGAAGACUCCAUGAUUCAGAGCACAGAAGGGGUGUCGGUUUCCAGUUGGCUGGUUCUUGAGGAAACAAAUGAAAACAAGAAGCUUUUGCACACGAGGUGGUGCUGCUGCUCUGUAGCAAGAACAGGGCAUCACUAAGAGGAAGGUAAGAGAUUCUUAUUAUAUUUUGGCUUGUGCUGAAAAGCUAGGUUUUUAGACUUUACCGUCUU
rnacentral:lncRNA from 1 species